GAAAUCUGGGUUACUGACUUGGAAACCAAAUAAUAGGGAUGAAUGAAUGGACCAGAGAGUAAAGAGUCUGCACAUAAAGGGAAACUCCUUCUGACUGCAUCUUUCAUGCUGCUGGACAUUAGGAUCCCGGCAGGCAGACUCAGCUCUUAGGUUCGGUUGCCCAGUAACCAGAGGAUGCACAGAUUUCCAUUUUUACCUUCUUUCUGAUUCAGGAAAGUCUUUUUUUUUUUUUUUUUUAAAUUCCUUUUUAAACAGAAGGAUUAAAGAACAACCCCCCACCCCGCCCCACCCUCGCCCUCCACAUUAAGGUCGAACCAAUCCCUUUCACCUGUUGGUGGCUAAAGUGUUUGAAAGGACCCCUGUUUUAAAACAGGUACGAUGUUAGGAAAUCGUCGGGGCAACGUCGGGAUGCAGACAGAGGGUGGUAAGAGUUUGGAUUCCCUGGAAAUGAGGGAACCGGGAUCAACCCAACUGGUCUUCUGCAGGAGUGUCGGACUGGGGAAGAGUCAGGUUGGCCAGGCUGUGCACUUUGCACCAGGUGCACGACAUAAUAAUCCGGUAUUUGUAUGUCCUGCAGUCAGCUGAUCCACUUACGAAGCAAGAGUUGAGAGUCGAGCCCCGAACUGAUUCCCUCAAAACCAGCCAUCCUUAUGUUCCCUUGGGAAAACUUAAUGGCCCUCGGGAGACAUGUGUUUUUCAGUUGGAAGGGCUCGCCUCUAGGGCACGCCCCCCAAAUCCUCGAUAUCCUUAUCUGUUACAUGUUUUCCUCAAGGUUAAUAUAGAAUUACCGUUCA